rnacentral:rRNA from 1 species
UACCAGCUCUUCGAGUGGUGUGGAUGUUUAUUGGGCCUAAAGCAUCCGUAGCUGGCUGGACAAGUCCCCUGUUAAAUCCACCGAUUUAAUCGUUGGUGUGCGGGGGAUACUGUUCGGCUAGGGGACGGGAGAGGCCGACGGUAUUUCCGGGGUAGGGGUGAAAUCCUAUAAUCCCGGGAAGACCACCAGUGGCGAAGGCUGUCGGCUAGAACGCGCCCGACGGUGAGGGAUGAAAGCUGGGGGAGCGAACCGGAUUAGAUACCCGGGUAGUCCCAGCUGUAAACGAUGCAGGCUAGGUGUUUGGGCGGCCACGUGCCGCUCUAGUGCCGCAAGGAAGCUGUUAAGCCUGCCGCCUGGGGAGUACGGCCGCGAGGCUGAAACUUAAAGGAAUUGGCGGGGGAGCACCACAAGGGGUGAAGCUUGCGGUUU